CCUACGGGUGGCUGCAGUGGGGGAUAGUGCACAAUGGGGGAAACCCUGAUGCAGCGACGCCGCGUGGGCGAAGAAGUAUUUCGGUAUGUAAAGCCCUAUCAGCAGGGAAGAAGAAAUGACGGGACCGGAGUAAGAAGCACCGGCUAAAUACGGGCCAGCAGCCGCGGUAAUACGUAUGGUGCAAGCGUUAUCCGGAUUUACUGGGUGGAAAGGGAGCGCAGGCGGCACGGCCAGCCUGAUGUGAAAGCCCGCGGCCCACCCGCGGGACUGCCUUGGGAACUACCGGGCUGGAGGGCCGGAGAGGUCGGCGGACUUCCUAGUGUAGCGGUGAACUGCGUAGAUAUUAGGCGGAACCCCAGUGGCGAAGGCGGCCUACUGGACGGUGACUGACGCUGAGGCUCGAAAGCGUGGGGAGCAAACAGGAUUAGAUACCCCAGUAGUC
rnacentral:rRNA from 1 species